UAUAUAUAUUUUUUAAAAAAAAUAGAGUUGGGGUGUCACUAUUGCCUAGACUGGUCUCAAAGUCCUGGGCUCAAGUGAUCCUCCCACCUCAUCCUCUCAAAGU